rnacentral:rRNA from 1 species
CCUACGGGAGGCAGCAGUGGGGAAUAUUGCACAAUGGGGGAAACCCUGAUGCAGCGACGCCGCGUGAGUGAAGAAGUAAUUCGUUAUGUAAAGCUCUAUCAGCAGGGAAGAAAAUGACGGUACCUGAGUCAGAAGCCCCGGCUAACUACGUGCCAGCAGCCGCGGUAAUACGUAGGGGGCAAGCGUCAUCCGGAUUUACUGGGGGUAAAGGGAGCGUAGACGGCAGUGCAAGUCUGGAGUGAAAGGCGGGGGCUCAACCCCCGGACUGCUCUGGAAACUGGACGGCUGGAGUGCAGGAGAGGUAAGUGGAAUUCCUAGUGUAGCGGUGAAAUGCGUAGAUAUUAGGAGGAACACCAGUGGCGAAGGCGGCUUACUGGACUGUAACUGACGUUGAGGCUCGAAAGCGUGGGGAGCAAACAGGAUUAGAUACCCCAGUAGUC